UACGAAGGGGACUAGCGUUGUUCGGAAUUACUGGGCGUAAAGCGCACGUAGGCGGAUUUGUAAGUCAGGGGUGAAAUCCCGGGGCUCAACCUCGGAACUGCCUUUGAUACUGCAAAUCUCGAGUCCGAUAGAGGUGGGUGGAAUUCCUAGUGUAGAGGUGAAAUUCGUAGAUAUUAGGAAGAACACCGGUGGCGAAGGCUGCCCACUGGAUCGGUACUGACGCUGAGGUGCGAAAGCGUGGGGAGCAAACAGG
rnacentral:rRNA from 1 species